CAUAACCUCACUUUGUUUUUCAAACGUGUGAAAGAAAUUUGGUGUUUUGUUCAAUUUACGAUGUCGCGAAAUAAUGAGUAAAUUUAUGUUGUUAUAUCUUCAAGUUGUGAUAUUUUUUUGUUAAAGUUUAUAAAUAUAUCUUUGUUGAGUGGAAAAGUAAAGUCAAAAGUGGUUUUUAUUGGUUCUGUGAAGUUUUGUUAACUGUUGCUGACAUAGUCGAUAUAUAUGUAUAAGCUAGCUAUAUAAAAGAUAGCUAUUCCACAGCCAUUAUGUAUCCAGCAGUACAAUAGAUAUAUGGGCGGUACUGACCGACUAGAUCAGAAUGUGGGAUGUUAUCGAAUCAGUAUCAAUCGUAAAAAGUGGUACUGGCAGUUGAUGAUGUGGCCUUUGAACGUAUCCGUGAACAAUGCGUUUCAACUUUAUAAACUGUCUCCAGAUGGUCAAGAAAAUCGUUCAUUAGACUAUCUUGCAUUUAUCAGAGUAAUAACUACUACAUAUCUCGGAAAUUACUCCCUUCCACGUACAAUGGGUCGCCCCUUGAAGCCUUGUUGCAAGAGACGUAGCGUUCCAGACGGAGUUCGCCUUGAUGGUCAAGGCCACAUAAUAAUUUCAAAUGCAACUCAAAUAAGAUGUGCAAUGUGCCAUAAAAACACAACUAAAAAGUGUCGAACAUGUGAUGUUUGAUGUCACACAAACUGUUUUGAGGCUUUCCAUUCAUAAUUUUAUUUAUAUUUAUUUUAAUUCAAUCAAUUAAAAAGUGGAAUCUGAAUUAAAUUUAUAAUUUUCUUUAAUAAAACUGAAAUCACAUCUUAUAUUAACUGAA